rnacentral:lncRNA from 1 species
ACGGCUGGUUGCCAUGGGUUCGCUUCCGGCGCUGCCAGGAAGUGGCUGGAAUCCCGGCGUUGGCUGCCGUGGGGCCAGGCAGGCAGAGUGUGCACCUUGGUUUAUGUGGGCAAGAAGAUGUAUAACAAGCAGCCCUUCACCCUUUCAUCUUCAGUUGGGAGGCUGCAGUCUUCUUGGGGCCAUAUUCUGGUUGCUUCAGCUUAUAAGACAAGGGCAUACUGUGGCUGAAGCAACUGGAUGUAUGAUGUGA